UACAGAGGUCCCAAGCGUUGUUCGGAUUUAUUGGGCGUAAAGGGUGCGUAGGCGGCGGAGUAAGUUGGGUGUGAAAUCCCGGGGCUCAACCUCGGAACUGCAUUCAAUACUGCUUCGCUCGAGUACUGGAGAGGAGGCUGGAAUUUGCGGUGUAGCAGUGAAAUGCGUAGAUAUCGUAAGGAAGGCCAGUGGCGAAAGCGAGCCUCUGGACAGUUACUGACGCUGAUGCACGAAGGCCAGGGGAGCAAACGGG
rnacentral:rRNA from 1 species